AGCUUUGCACAUUGGCAGUAUUGUAGCCAAUGAGGUUUAUCCAAGGUGUGAUUAUUGCUAAUUGAAAACUUUUUCUAAUACCCCACCAUGACGACGUGAAAUAUAGUUGGCCUUGGCAAUUUUUGACAGUCUCUACAAAGA
rnacentral:snRNA from 1 species